AGAGUUUGAUCCUGGCUCAGGACGAACGCUGGCGGCGUGCCUAACACAUGCAAGUCGAACGGGACUAAGCCCUUCGGGACUGAGUUUAGUGGCGAACGGGUGAGUAACGCGUGAGGAACCUGCCUUUCAGUGGGGGACAACAGUUGGAAACGACUGCUAAUACCGCAUAAUGCUUUUUGAUGGCAUCAUUGAAAAGCCAAAGAUUUAUUGCUGAAAGAUGGCCUCGCGUCUGAUUAGCUGGUUGGUGGGGUAACGGCCCACCAAGGCGACGAUCAGUAGCCGGUCUGAGAGGAUGAACGGCCACAUUGGGACUGAGAUACGGCCCAGACUCCUACGGGAGGCAGCAGUGGGGAAUAUUGGGCAAUGGGGGAAACCCUGACCCAGCAACGCCGCGUGAAGGAAGAAGGCCUUCGGGUUGUAAACUUCUUUUACCAGGGACGAAAAAAGUGACGGUACCUGGAGAAAAAGCAACGGCUAACUACGUGCCAGCAGCCGCGGUAAUACGUAGGUUGCAAGCGUUGUCCGGAUUUACUGGGUGUAAAGGGCGUGUAGGCGGAGAUGCAAGUUGGGAGUGAAAUCCAUGGGCUCAACCCAUGAACUGCUCUCAAAACUGUAUCCCUUGAGUAUCGGAGAGGCAAGCGGAAUUCCUAGUGUAGCGGUGAAAUGCGUAGAUAUUAGGAGGAACACCAGUGGCGAAGGCGGCUUGCUGGACGACAACUGACGCUGAGGCGCGAAAGCGUGGGGAGCAAACAGGAUUAGAUACCCUGGUAGUCCACGCUGUAAACGAUGAAUACUAGGUG
rnacentral:rRNA from 1 species